rnacentral:rRNA from 1 species
UUAGAGUUUGAUCCUGGCUCAGAGUGAACGCUGGCGGCAGGCCUAACACAUGCAAGUCGAACGGCAGCACAGAGGAGCUUGCUCCUUGGGUGGCGAGUGGCGGACGGGUGAGGAAUGCAUCGGAAUCUGCCUAUUUGUGGGGGAUAACGUAGGGAAACUUACGCUAAUACCGCAUACGUCCUACGGGAGAAAGUGGGGGACCUUCGGGCCUCACGCAGAUAGAUGAGCCGAUGCCGGAUUAGCUAGUUGGCGGGGUAAAGGCCCACCAAGGCGACGAUCCGUAGCUGGUCUGAGAGGAUGAUCAGCCACACUGGAACUGAGACACGGUCCAGACUCCUACGGGAGGCAGCAGUGGGGAAUAUUGGACAAUGGGCGCAAGCCUGAUCCAGCCAUGCCGCGUGUGUGAAGAAGGCCUUCGGGUUGUAAAGCACUUUUGUCCGGAAAGAAAAGCGCUCGAUUAAUACUCGGGUGUUAUGACGGUACCGGAAGAAUAAGCACCGGCUAACUUCGUGCCAGCAGCCGCGGUAAUACGAAGGGUGCAAGCGUUACUCGGAAUUACUGGGCGUAAAGCGUGCGUAGGUGGUUUGUUAAGUCUGAUGUGAAAGCCCUGGGCUCAACCUGGGAACUGCAUUGGAAACUGGCUUACUAGAGUGCGGUAGAGGGGUGUGGAAUUCCCGGUGUAGCAGUGAAAUGCGUAGAUAUCGGGAGGAACAUCUGUGGCGAAGGCGACACCCUGGACCAGCACUGACACUGAGGCACGAAAGCGUGGGGAGCAAACAGGAUUAGAUACCCUGGUAGUCCACGCCCUAAACGAUGCGAACUGGAUGUUGGGGGCAACUUGGCCCUCAGUAUCGAAGCUAACGCGUUAAGUUCGCCGCCUGGGGAGUACGGUCGCAAGACUGAAACUCAAGGGAAUUGACGGGG